CGCACCUUGCGCUCCUUGGUAUUCCGAGGAGCAUGCCUGUUUGAGUGUCUUGAAAUCAUCAAGCCCCUCGGUUUCGCGACCGCGGUGUUUGGACUUGGGGGCUUGCUGCGGCGACGCGGCUCCCCUUAAAUGGAUCGGUCGGACCCCUCGGGGCUCCUUUCCUGGGCGUUGUACCAUCCUCGUCCGACGGGAGGGCCCUUUGCCGACCUCGACCUGCCUCUGGAGCGGCGGUCAACACACUUUGAAAUCUGACCUCAAAUCAGGUAGGACUACCCGCUGAACUUAA
rnacentral:misc_RNA from 1 species